rnacentral:rRNA from 1 species
GAAUUGUUCGCAAUGGGCGCAAGCCUGACGACGCAACGCCGCGUGGAGGAAGAAGGUCUUCGGCUUGUAAACUCCUGUUGCUCGGGAAGAAUGGCUCACACCUAACACGUAGGAGUAUGACGGUACCGGGUGAGGAAGCCCCGGCUAACGCUGGGCCCGCAGCCGCGGUAAUACAGAGGGGGCAAGCGUUGUUCGGAAUUACUGGGCGUAAAGGGCGCGUAGGCGGCCUGUUAAGUCGAACGUGAAAUCCCCGAGCUCAACUCGGGAACUGCGUCCGAUACUGGCAGGCUCGAAUCCGGGAGAGGGAUGUGGAAUUCCAGGUGUAGCGGUGAAAUGCGUAGAUAUCUGGAGGAACACCGGUGGCGAAGGCGGCAUCCUGGACCGGCAUUGACGCUGAGGCGCGAAAGCCAGGGGAGCAAACGGG